GCGCGGGUAGCUCAGUGGUAGAGCAGUUGGCUUUUAACCAAUUGGUCGUGGGUUCGACCCCCACCCCGCGUACCA
rnacentral:tRNA from 1 species